rnacentral:rRNA from 1 species
AUUGAACGCUGGCGGCAUGCCUUACACAUGCAAGUCGAACGGUAACAGGUCUUCGGAUGCUGACGAGUGGCGAACGGGUGAGUAAUACAUCGGAACGUGCCCGAUCGUGGGGGAUAACGCAGCGAAAGUUACGCUAAUACCGCAUACGAUCUACGGAUGAAAGCGGGGGAUCGCAAGACCUCGCGCGAUUGGAGCGGCCGAUAUCAGAUUAGCUAGUUGGUGGGGUAAAAGCUCACCAAGGCGACGAUCUGUAGCUGGUCUGAGAGGACGACCAGCCACACUGGAACUGAGACACGGUCCAGACUCCUACGGGAGGCAGCAGUGGGGAAUUUUGGACAAUGGGCGAAAGCCUGAUCCAGCAAUGCCGCGUGCAGGACGAAGGCCUUCGGGUUGUAAACUGCUUUGUACGGUAACGAAAAGUACUGCCCUAAUACGGUGGGCGUCAUGACGGUACCGUAAGAAUAAGCACCGGCUAACUACGUGCCAGCAGCCGCGGUAAAC